UACGUAGGGUGCAAGCGUUGUCCGGAAUUAUUGGGCGUAAAGAGCUCGUAGGCGGUUUGUUGCGUCGGCUGUGAAAUCCCGAGGCUCAACCUCGGGUCUGCAGUCGAUACGAGCAAACUAGAGUGUUGCAGGGGAGACUGGAAUUUCUGGUGUAGCGGUGAAAUGCGCAGAUAUCAGGAGGAACACCGGUGGCGAAGGCGGGUCUCUGGGCAACAACUGACGCUGAGGAGCGAAGGCCAGGGGAGCAAACGGG
rnacentral:rRNA from 1 species